rnacentral:lncRNA from 1 species
CACCACCUUGGGGUGUCCACCUGCACCCCCAUGGGGAGAUGGAUUGCCCAAAAGAAAAAUCCAAAGUGAUGGGGGCAAUUCCUCAGACGUCUCACAAGCCGGCUCAGCCGCUGGAACCUGCUGGGCUUCCCGGAAGCUGCUCCUUGGCCCGAAGACUCUCAGGACAGCGAGGCAGCAGCAUCACCAAGGAGAGGCCAAGAGGGAGCCUCAUGGGACCUGGGACCCUGGAGCAUGAGCCGUGGCGCCAGAUGUGGUCCCCAGGAAAGGCCCAUGUUCCCGUUUAAAAAUGGCCCAUUGCAACAUCAAGAGAUGCACGGGACAAAUGACUCUCACAGGAGAAAAUGAGAUUGGCCCCUCAUAGCCUGAAGGACUUACUGGAACGGGGCCUUUUAGCUUGUUUCGGGGAGGGAAAAAAUGUGCAUCCCGGGGGCCUCAGUGGUGAACACUUGGUGCUAAUGGACCUGAGGUCCUGGAUCCUGGUCCCCCAGGGGCUUCUGUGGCCUCUGUAAACACGGAUAGAACACACCAGAUACAAGAGCCUUCAGACCAAUAAGGAGGCUAAGGCUCGGGAGGCCAGAUGACUUUCUCAAGAGAACAAUCAGCAUGUGGUAGAGCCAAGACUGAAAACGAGAUCUUCUGACGACAGAGCCAAUACCCCAGCCAUGACUCAAGCUUGACAGUAGCCAAGAGGGUGGCUCCCGCCGAGGUGUGAGCCGCUCCACGUGCCAGCCUGCGUCCCCUGGGAAUCUAUUCACCUCUACUCGGCAGAGCAGGGAGGAGAAGAGGAUAAACCAACACCCACACUGUAUUCCUUCUCGUCUCUCUCCUUGUGAAAACAAGAGGAACAGUGCAGAGCCUCAUCCGAUAUUCUCAUCCUGACAUCAUCCCAGGAAAAUAAGUCCUUUUCAAAACCGCGGUUGCAGCGCCUCCCCUCCCGCGGCUGAGAGCCGGCAGAGCGGACCAUGUGUGGGGCUCCGUGGCUGGCCCAGGCGCACGGGGUCAGGCUGCUCCAGAGGCCGUGCUCUUCCCGUUAUUCCUCACUGUCUUUGGCAGACACAAAAGACUCAGGGAAAUGGACAAAAUAAAGAAAAGAGGCUCUUUCAACCUAAGGAGGUGCCUCUUCUGACAUUUUAGGAAAAUGGAGUCAUUCAAGCUUCCUAGAGGCAGG